rnacentral:rRNA from 1 species
CCCUUAGAUGUUCUGGGCCGCACGCGCGCUACACUGACGAUGGCAACGAGUUUUUCCUUCGCCGAAAGGUGUGGGUAAUCUUUUGAAACAUCGUCGUGCUGGGGAUAGAUCAUUGCAAUUUUUGAUCUUGAACGAGGAAUUCCUAGUAAGCGCGAGUCAUCAGCUCGCGUUGAUUACGUCCCUGCCCUUUGUACAUACCGCCCGUCGCUACUACCGAUUGAAUGGUUUAGUGAGGACUCCUGAUUGGCGCCGCCGCCCCGGCAACGGAGCAGCGGACUGCCGAAAAGUUGUUCAAACUUGAUCAUUUAGAGGAAGUAAAAGUCGUAACA